CUCACCCACCCCUGACCCGCACCCCCAUCCUGGCCGGCCGCCCGCGCGCCCUGCGCCCCACGCCCCAGGCCCCAGGGAGCGCCGAGCGCACGGAGGCCACACGCCGUCCGCCGACCGCCGCACGGAGACCGCAGGCCGCGCCGCCGCUCCCCACCAGCCUGCCCCAUCCGCUCGCGUUGCAGCGCAGGCGCCGCCCGCCCCGCACCUGGAGGCCGCCUGCGAUCCGCACGCAGGUGCAGCAGCACGACGGAAGGUCGGAGACCUCCUGUACGCACGCAGGCGCAGCACCGAGGUGCCCCGCACGGCGACCUUGCUGGCCUCGGCCCCUGAGCCUCCGACCAGCGACCUCCAUUGCGCUUGCGCCCUCCUCGCGCUCCCCACCUUUCCAUUCGCCGCGCCUGACCCCGCUCCCCCGUCUCCGGCUCCGACCUCACCGCCGGUCGGUCUCAGCCCGCAUGGACCCCGCCGACCAGUCGCCGGAGGAGGUGUACUCCGUGUGGGCUCUCCCGCCGGCGCCCAUCCGCGACCGCCUCCGCCGCAUCAUGGAGGGCCUCCGCGCCGCGCACGGCGGCCCUGCCUUCGAGCCGCACGCCACGGUCGUCGGAGACUUCCGUAGCCGCCGAUCGGCAGCCCUCGAGGUGCUCCGCACCGCCGCCGCCGGCGUCCAGCCCUACACCGCCCGUGUCACGGGGGUCGCCCGGGGCAGCUUCUUCUACCAGUGCGUCUACCUUCUCCUCGAGCCCACCCCCGAGGUGGUGGCAGCGAGCGAUUACUGCUGUGGCCACUUCGGUUACAAGGGAAAGACUCCAUUAAUGCCGCACGUCAGCCUCUUAUACGGAGACCUGACAGAUGAGGAGGAGGAGUCAAGGAAGAAGGUAGAGGAGCUGGACAAGGAUAUCUGUGGAUUGGAGUCCGAGAUCUCUGAGCUUGCACUCUAUAGAACAGAUACUGCGGAUAAAAGCUUGGAGUCAUGGGAGUUGGUGGAGGUGUGGCAUCUUGAAACGAAGUGAUUAGUUUCCUCUCCAUGGUGAUUCUGCUGUGAUGUGGCAGGCCAACCUGGAACCAACGUGGGAAGGGGGUAGUUGGCCUUGUAAUAAAUGUGCAGAGACACCCCAUCUUUCUAUUCCUCUAUCAUUCCAGUCUCCCCUACCUCUUCGUAUUCAUUUGUUACGGAGGGGACGAGGCGGCCAUUGCGGAGGGGACGAGGUCGGCGGCUAUUGCCGGUCGCCGGCGAUCGGUGGCGACUGGACAGACAUAGGUUGGCGAGGAGUGGAGGGGCUAGGUGGGCAUCUCAAUCUGGCCAAGACGGUGGCAGCAGCGGUGGAAGAUGGUGGCGAGAUUGCGAUAGCAUGGUGACACUGCACCUGUGUAUGAUGAUGGUAAAGAGGAGUUCUCGGUUGAGGUUCACCAUGGGGGGUUCUUUGUUGGGCAUGGCUAUCUCAGAUCAUAUGUGAGUGGGAAAGUCAGUUGGUUUGAUCAUGUGGAGACAGAUACUUGGUCUCCGCUGUGGCUGGAUCAGUUUGUUGAGGACCUAGGGUACUUAAGGACUGGAAACUUGAAGAUAUAUUGGCUGUUACAGGGAAGGAGAUUUCUGGUUCUCAAAUGCUUCCACAUCUUAGUAGCACUCAGUUGAGCCAAAUGAUGCAAGAGGUAACUCAGCUGAGCCAAUUAUCAUUGUUACAGAUAUUUGUAUUCAAUAGUGCAGCACAGCUUAAUAGCAUCUAUCAUUGAUACAUGAGCCUCAGCCUAGCUUGCUCUCACAACAACGAGGGCCAUUGCCAGAUCCUGACUUCAUCAUGACCAACAGACCAUUGCAAGGUCUGCUCCACUUACAACAGGCACCAAGCAAGGCAAAGCUGCCGCUACAAAGAAGAGAAAGGUGGCAAAGAACACUGAAGUUGCAGCAAGCAAGAAGAACACUGCAGCAAAGAACACUGAGCUGCAUCUAGCAAGAAAAAGACGGCAGCAAAGAGUGGGACUACUUGAUCAAGACUGAGAGAUAGCUGUUUACUUUUGUGAAUGAUAGAUAGCUGUUUGCUUUUGUGCAAGGCAGAGGAGGAUGGUCUGUCUUGUCCUAAUAUUUAUGUAAUGUGGUGGGCACUAGUUUAAGGUCACACUAGCAGCAUCAAACAAUGUGUUAAGUUAUGUAGUGCUUAUCUUGGUUUAAGAGCAUUACUCAUCUGUCAUAUCCAAUGCAAAAUGCAUUUCAUGCUUGUGACUA